GGGACGUAAUGUCGACUUGGAGGUUGUGCCCUUGAGGCGUGGCUUCCGGAGCUAACGCGUUAAGUCGACCGCCUGGGGAGUACGGCCGCAAGGUUAAAACUCAAAUGAAUUGACGGGGGCCCGCACAAGCGGUGGAGCAUGUGGUUUAAUUCGAUGCAACGCGAAGAACCUUACCUGGUCUUGACAUCCACAGAACUUUCCAGAGAUGGAUUGGUGCCUUCGGGAACUGUGAGACAGGUGCUGCAUGGCUGUCGUCAGCUCGUGUUGUGAAAUGUUGGGUUAAGUCCCGCAACGAGCGCAACCCUUAUCCUUUGUUGCCAGCGGUCCGGCCGGGAACUCAAAGGAGACUGCCAGUGAUAAACUGGAGGAAGGUGGGGAUGACGUCAAGUCAUCAUGGCCCUUACGACCAGGGCUACACACGUGCUACAAUGGCGCAUACAAAGAGAAGCGACCUCGCGAGAGCAAGCGGACCUCAUAAAGUGCGUCGUAGUCCGGAUUGGAGUCUGCAACUCGACUCCAUGAAGUCGGAAUCGCUAGUAAUCGUGGAUCAGAAUGCCACGGUGAAUACGUUCCCGGGCCUUGUACACACCGCCCGUCACACCAUGGGAGUGGGUUGCAAAAGAAGUAGGUAGCUUAACCUUCGGGAGGGCGCUUACCACUUUGUGAUUCAUGACUGGGGGUGAAGUCGUAACAAGGUAACCGUAA
rnacentral:rRNA from 1 species